rnacentral:rRNA from 1 species
CGGGUGAGUAAUGUCUGGGAAACUGCCUGAUGGAGGGGGAUAACUACUGGAAACGGUAGCUAAUACCGCAUAACGUCGCAAGACCAAUGAGGGGGACCUUCGGGCCUCUUGCCAUCGGAUGUGCCCAGAUGGGAUUAGCUAGUAGGUGGGGUAACGGCUCACCUAGGCGACGAUCCCUAGCUGGUCUGAGAGGAUGACCAGCCACACUGGAACUGAGACACGGUCCAG